rnacentral:rRNA from 1 species
CCUACGGGUGGCAGCAGUGAGGAAUAUUGGUCAAUGGGCGCGCGCCUGAACCAGCCAAGUCGCGUGAGGGAAGACGGCCCUACGGGUUGUAAACCUCUUUUGCCGGGGAGCAACGGGCGUCACGUGUGGCGGCACUGAGAGUACCCGGAGAAAAAGCAUCGGCUAACUCCGUGCCAGCAGCCGCGGUAAUACGUAGGAUGCGAGCGUUAUCCGGAUUUAUUGGGUUUAAAGGGUGCGUAGGCGGAACGUUAAGUCAGUGGUAAAAUUGAGGGGCUCAACCCCUUCCCGCCAUUGAAACUGGCGCUCUUGAGUGGAAGAGAAGUAUGCGGAAGGCGGGGUGUAGCGGUGAAAUGCAUAGAGAUCACGCAGAACUCCGAUUGCGAAGGCAGCAUGCCGGCUUCCGACUGACGCUGAAGCACGAAAGCGUGGGGAUCGAACAGGAUUAGAUACCCCUGUAGUC